AAUAUUGUACUAUGGGGGAAACCCUGAUGCAGCGACGCCGCGCGAGUGAAGAAGCAUUUCGGUAUGUAAUGCUCUAUCAUCAGGGAAGAAAAAGACGGUCCCUGACUAAGAAGCUCCGGCUAACUACUGGCCAGCAGCCGCGGUAAUACGUAGGGGGCACGCGUUAUCCGGAUUUACUGGGUGUAAAGGGAGCGUAGGUGGGUCGGUAAGUCAGGUGUGAAAGCCCGGGGCUCAAAUCCGGGAUUGCACUUGAAACUAUCGGACUAGAGUGCAGGAGAGGUAAGUGGAAUUCCUAGUGUAGCGGUGAAAUGCGUAGAUAUUAGGAGGAACACCAGUGGCGAAGGCGGCUUACUGGACUGUAACUGACACUGAGGCUCGAAAGCGUGGGGAGCAAACAGG
rnacentral:rRNA from 1 species